ACAGAAMAUGUUGGAUGAGGCUGCAGAUGAGAACCACCGAAGAAUUGUCUUGGACCCUACAAUGCUGGCAGGAAACCAUGUCAUCCUGAAGACAGGAACUCAGUGGGAGGUGAUGCUCGAAAUGGACGACAACACUUUUGUCUGAAGUUCAGCUUUUUCUGAGUUUAAUAAACAUUUUUAGUUAAUUCAA